AGGAAAGGACUUGAUUGAAUCAAACGCUGUGGAAAAAGCAGGUAAACUACGGCACAAGUUGAAACUUCUGGAUCAGCGCUGGCAAAACGUGCUGAAGAAAACAGAACGGAGGAAACAGCAUCUGGACAAGGCCUUGAUCCAGGCCCAAGGUUUCCAUGGUGAGGUUGAAGAUAUGCAGCAUUGGCUGACAGACACUGAACGUCCGCUGUUGGCAUCAAGACCUGUUG